CCUUUUACAAUUCACCUCUUCAUUUGAUCGUGGCGCACCGUUCGUGCACGUAAGCGCCACAUCUUUUGAAGUAUAAAACUGGUACUAAAUAAUCAGGAGAAUAUAUAAUCAAUAAUCCAGUAUAAAACUGGUACUAAAAUUGAUUGUUUUAUAUUCAAUAUGUAUCGUUUUUCAUGAUAGUAAUUUUGAUAUAAGCUUAUGCUUAGAUUGUUUUAUUAAACACUGUACAUAACUUUAAAAUAAUCAGUUUAUAUACCAGUUUUAAACUGGGUUUAAUAUUGUACCUGAUUAUUUAGUACUUCCUCCAUCAUGAUUGAUGUCAAUGCGGUCGGAGCUCGACAGGGGACGACUCUUAGCAGUCGGCAACAACGGUGACGCUCCACAGUUGGGGGUGUGGUGUUCGGUACCAGUGGUGGUUCUACACGUUCGACGGCUCGCGACUGACCGACAAGGAGAAGCAGCGCCUCGACCCUACCUGUAACCGUGACUAGGGAGGAAGGGGGUACCCGGAGAGACGGGCCGCGAUGCUGAGGUAGAAGUCGAAGCCGCUGAGGGAAGCGGCUGUGGCCGUUGUUGGGGCAGCAGAACCGGCGGUCGAGGUAGAAGCUGGGACAGUGCGCCGGUGGGAUGCCGAGGUGGAAGAAGCCGGCGGGGUGGCCGGCGUUGAGGCUGCCGGCGGAGUAGUAGCUGAAGUAGCCAUGUGUUGAUGUGUAUGCGUGACUUGUUUGAGAUGACUAGACUCCACCAGUUGAGUUGACCAGACGAACGUCGAGUCGCGGACCCGGACGGCGAGCAGGGCGGCAGGGACCGCGUGUUGCCCUCGAAGGCGGCUCCGUGGUUGAAGCGGCAGCCCUCGCGGUGGCGAGAGCUGCGGUGAAAGAAGGUGCCACCGUUCAAGGGAGAAUUGCGGUCGAACCGGCAUGUCGACGUCACCAAGCUCAGCGAGUUCGGAAGAGAGACGGCGUGUUGGUUCUUUUAGUUGACUGACUAUUGUGUUGAGUGUAUUUGGCGGGCGAGGAGUGCGGUGCGUAGCAACACCCGGGACGGGUUGGAAUAGAAGAAUCGCCUUGUCCGCUCGGUAGGCAACUAGGGAGCAGAGAUUGGAGAGCUAAGAAGGUGCCGACUAAAGGCGCGGAGGGGUGGUACCUGCACGACAAGGGUUCGAUUACGGAGUUUGGCACGCACAGAGGAGGUACCUGCACAACAGAGGUUCGGUGACGGGGUUCCGGUAUGCAGAGAAGCGGUACCUGCGCGACAGGGGUUCGGUGACAGGGUUCGGUCACGCAGAUAGGUAGUACCGGCAAAACACCACAACGCUUUGUUGUGACCGGCCACCGUCGGUCACGAGGCUAUUUCGUAAGUUCGCAACAAUCAGCCUACCCCACGCUGCGCGACACCUGGCCGACACCACGUUGGAGCAGCUGCGACGAGACGUCGAGGGCUGUGUGCACUGUCCUCCGUGGCCUCGACGCUACGUUGGAGCGGCCGCGACGUUACGUUGAGAGGGUUGCGUGCACUGUCCUCCAUGACCUCGACGCUACGUCGAAGCGGCCACGACGAUACGUCGAGAGGGCUACGUGCGCUGUACUCCGUGGCUGUGACGCUACGUUGAGAGGGCUGCGUGCGCCGUACUCUGUGGCUACGACGCUACGUUGGAGCAGCCGCGACGAUACGUCGAGAGGGCUGCGUGAGCCGUACUCCGUAGCCAGUAGAAGCCACCUAGAACAGCUCGAACAACUCGAUCUGCUGCGUCUUCGAAGUUACGUUGCCCCUACAAACGACACCGCCUCUACUGGCCGACUAAAGCUUCCAGCAGUUGUCCGUCGUGACGUUCUGCCCUACUGCUUCUCGCUACCUCAUCACAACGUGACUUCUCUCCUGCCUCAGUUAAAGACGACCAUUUGCAAAGGUGGGCCGCCUGGCCGACUUUGAAGUCGGCCAGCGCGCGCCCGGUGACCUAGGUACAUCUAGCAUACCGUGUUUUGUCAGCGUAACAGGAGGUGUGUAUGGAAUAGAAGGGUGAGGAAGAAAUAGGAAGGCACGUGUGUACAACAUCUGUGGCGGCCGCUGUCGCUGUUGCUGCUACUCGCCUACGCGGCCUUCGGGUAAGCUGCGGCAGGAUUUACGGAGUGGGAAGAGGGGGACAAGAGUUAAAAACGAAAACGUGGCCACGAAGUUCACGCGCACGCGGACAGACAUCCUCGAGAAGAGGUACCGGCCG
rnacentral:rRNA from 1 species